ensembl:lncRNA
UUUUGCAGUGUAGUAGUGUUGCUUUGCCUUCGGCAAGCACCACUAAUAAUAAGUAUGUGAGCUAGUAAUAGUGUUGCCUUGCCUCCGUCAAGCACCACUAAUAAUAAGUAUGUGAGAUAGUAGUAGUGAUGCUUUGCCUUCAGCAAGCACCACUAAUAAUAACUAUGUGAGAUAGUAAUAGUGAUGCUUUGCCUGUGGCAAGCACCACUAAUAAGUAUGUGAGAUAGUAAUAGUGUUGUUUUGCCUUCGGCAAGCACCACUAAUAAUAACUGUGUGAGAUAGUAAUAGUGUUGCCUAGCCGACUAACGCUAAUAUGCACUGUUAGCAAUUGAUGUAAUUUUUACAAUAAAUUUUACAACAACGCAUUGUAUUCAUGUUUUUGUUGUAAAUGCAAAUGCAUGAUGGGAAAUUUAAGGACAGUCCUGUAAUAUUAUUGUAACUACACUGUAGAAGCAUUAUUUUACAGCCACCGCAUAGCAUUGUGGAAUCGCUGCUGUUUGAAUUUUGAAAUUAUGCGGCCAGCGGUACCAGAAGUAUUUUAACAUUUUUGGAAGAAGGAACAUGUCUCAGUUAUGUAACAUAAAAUCUGUUUUAUAAUUCUUUAUAUAUAUUAAUACUGGUGAUCUGAGUGAGUGCUGAUUGUUUCGUUUGGUUUAUUUCAGAUUUCUCUUGAACUGACCGCGAAGUUAGUUAAAAUCGCGUCUUCAUACUCUAUCCAUUUUAAAACUAAUGCUGCGUUUCCACCGCUGGAACUUCACCCAGAAACUAGGAACUUUGGGCUGGUAUUCUUAUCCUAAUGAGGCCUCAAGCACUAAAGGCUCUAUGAUAUACUCUAUCCAACAGCAGAAGACACCAGGAGUGGGGAAGGUUCUGGAAGCCUACAAUGAAGAGAGUGGCAACAAAGCUAUCUGCACAAUCAUGUGCCUGCUUGCUCACUUCAAGGAGGGGAAUGGUAUCUUCCUUACGGCUGAUAGCCUUUUGUGGCAUAAACCCCAGAUGGGCAGCAAGGCAGAGAAGAAACUAGGGCUGAACGCACCAGUUUGCACCCUUCUUAGGAAACUGCUGGAUUUGAAUUGGUGGACAGGGGACAUUAGAGGAUCACUCCAUAGUGUAGUAUGUUUGACAACUCGUUCAACCAGUUUGGUACAGUUACAGAUUGUUUGUGCAUUGUGCACCGUUUUCUCA